rnacentral:tRNA from 1 species
CAGGGAGACAAACAUUGAUCAUGAUGUCUGAGUUUUUUAUCUUAGGCCUUGAUCCUGUCACCUUAGGUCGAUCGGUACCUCAGAUUUUUUUCCAUAAAAUGGAAAAAAAUUUCAGUUCCUAAACUUGUCUAGGUCACACCCAGCAAGGGUUCUCCUGGGCCAUUAGCUCAGGUGGUUAGAACGCACCCCUGAUAAGGGUGAGGUCCCUGGUUCAAGUCCAGGAUGGCCCAUUCGUUGUUGGGGGUAUAGCUCAGUUGGUAGAGCGCCUGCUUUGCAAGCAGGAUGUCAGCGGUUCGAGUCCGCUUACCUCCACUGAUCUAUCACCUGAUAACCAAAGCUUUAAGGAGAAAUAACUUUGCUAUUUGUGAUUUAGACCUUUUUCUGAAUGAACCUAGCUUCCUAUCAUUCUUUUUCUAAAAAAUACUUUAGAGAGUUGAUAAGACGCUGGGCUCACUGGAAUCCGAUAGGAUUUCGGGAGUUCAGAAGAACCUUGACAACUGCAUAGAUAAAAGUCUGGAAAGAAUAAAGCAUCUCAUGGAUGCAUAAUUCUCUAGAUGUUAGAUAAAGGGAUAACGUUUUAUUAUGUUAUUUCUAAUCCAAACAAAAGAGAAUUAAUGUUGAAUUCUUGAGUAAGAACCAAGACUCUAUAGUUUUAUAGAGGCUAAU